rnacentral:rRNA from 1 species
UACGUAGGGGGCAAGCGUUGUCCGGAUUUAUUGGGCGUAAAGAGCGUGUAGGCGGUCUGGUAGGUCCGCUGUGAAACUCGAGCUCAACCUCGAGACGCCGGUGGAAACCAUCAGACUAGAGUCCGGAAGAGGAGAGUGGAAUUCCUGGUGUAGCGGUGAAAUGCGCAGAUAUCAGGAAGAACACCCGUGGCUAAGGCGGCUCUCUAGUACGGUACUGACGCUGAGACGCGAAAGCGUGGGGAGCGAACAGG